CUGAGAUACCCAGUGUCUCCAGGUCUGGUCUCCAGGAUCUCGGUGGAGCCUCCAGAAAUGUUGUGUAUUCAACAGAGAAGAUUGUUCAGACAUCCUGCAGCUACAAUGAGUGUUCAGGAUCCCAGUGUAGCACUAAACCAUUCUCACGAGGAAGACCAUACAGAAAUCUACAACUGGUCAAAAUGCAGAGAACAAACGGCUGCGGGGCCCCAGCCGUAAUUGAUCCAUCUAGAAUAUAGCCCUCACUGAAGGCUCAGGGAACAUCGCAGAAACAGGAGAGGAAAGACUGGAAGAGCCAGAGGACUCGCAUGUCACUGGGAGGUACUGCCAUCUAUAUAUGGCAGGGGAGCUGCACCAAUGUUACCCUAACGAUAAGCAUACCUGAAAAGAACUAACACAAUGACCCUAUCAGUUGACCUGCCAACAAGACUUGGGGAAAUCUCACAAGGCUUUACCCCCAGAUGAAGAACUACAGGGAAGAACUAUAGCAGCAUAAUGGUUGCUGAGAGAUGAAGAAUAAGCCUUUCACCGAACUAAGUCCCUAGCAGGAUAUACAAUCCUUAGUGGUCUGUUCUAAACACAUACACCUAUGAGAAAUGCCAAACAGACUUAUCAGGUUAUAUUUAUAUGAAAUCUAUAUGUAUGUAUAUAUGUAUGUAUGUUUGUAUACAUACAUGUGUGUAUGUAUGGAUACAUAUGAGAUAAUAAUUGAAGAAGAAGAUGAUGAUGAUGAAGAGGGAGAAGAAGAAGACAAGCAUUUGAGAGGGAGAAAUACAGGAUGAGUUGGAGUCAGUUCAGCAGGAAAUGAUGCACAUGAUGUAAUACAGAACUCACAUACGAAAUUCUAAAAUAAAUUACAUUAACAACUACAA